GUCGCUCCUACCGAUUGAGUGAUCCGGUGAAUAAUUCGGACACCAAAUUAAGGGCUUCGGUCACUUUUUUUGGUGGAAGUUUAGUGAACCUUAUCACUUAGAGGAAGGAG
rnacentral:rRNA from 1 species